UUGAUCCUGGCUCAGGACGAACGUUGGCUGUGUGCCUUAGGUAUGCAAGUCGAACGGUACGCUAUUCUUAUAGUCGCUUGCGACUAUAAGUUAGAUUACAGUGGCAAACGGGUGAGUAACGCGUAGGUAACCUGCCUUAAAGUCGGGAAUAGCUCAGCGAAAGUUGAGGUAAUACUCGAUAGUCUCCAAUCACUUCGGUGUUUUGGAGUAAAGUUUCGGCGCUUUAAGAGGGGCCUGCGUCCUAUCAGCUAGUUGGUGAGGUAAAAGCUCACCAAGGCUAAGACGGGUAGCUGGUGUGAGAGCAUGUUCAGCCACCAUGGAACUGAGACACGGUCCAUACUCCUACGGGAGGCAGCAAUUAGGAAUCUUGCGCAAUGGGGGCAACCCUGACGCAGCGACACAGCGUGGAGGAGGAAGGUCUUCGGAUUGUAAACUCCUUUUAUGAGGGACGAAUAGAUGACGGUACCUCUUGAAUAAGUACCUGCUAACUACGUGCCAGAAGCAUCGGUGAUGCGUAGGGUACAAACGUUAUCCGGAGUUAUUGGGCGUAAAGAGAUGCGUAGGCGGCUUAAUAAGUCUAAGGUUAAAGUCCACGGCUCAACCGUGGAAAAGCUUUGGAUACUGUUAGGCUUGAGAUAUAGAGGGGUGAAUGGAAUUCCAAGUGGAGUGGUGAAAUACGUUGAUAUUUGGAAGAACACCAGUGGCGAAGGCGAUUCACUGGCUAUUAUCUGACGCUAAGGCUCGAAAGUAUGGGUAGCAAAACGGAUUAGAUACCCGUGUAGUCCAUACCGUAAACGAUGAAUGCUAGGUGUUUGACUCAAC
rnacentral:rRNA from 1 species